CCCGCCCUCCUCUACGGUUUUGGGCUAAUCAUUCUAACCUUUUAGUUUUUAGCUACUCAUUCUUACCAAGUUUAGUUUUGUAAAAUAUGGCGACUGGAUACGAGAUUGUUCAGACCCUGAACAAGAAGAGGCUCCCAAACAAGUUCGAGAAUUUAGGGUACAACAGGACGUUUCUGAAUGGCGUAUUUGUGCCAAGUGUGAGCAAAUGCCUACAGAGCCUGAGAAUGGAUGCUGCAGGGAGAUGCCACAGGUAACAAGAAGACUACUGCAGCUUCCAAACCAACCAACGUGCAUCAUCCGGGACUUUUAGCUGUGUGAUUGAAUGUGUUCUCACUACAGAAUGCAUUCAACAUCUAUAGAGCAGACUAUGGGCCUUAUGUCUAAGGGGAAUAUAGCAGUAAGUU
ensembl:lncRNA